CCCCGCAUCACUGCGGGGCCUCUAUUUCGCUUUUGUAACCAAGGGGUCUGCUCGUG
rnacentral:ncRNA from 1 species